UCAGAGCUGGUGGAGAAACAUUCUAGAUAUGUGAACCUAAAUAGUGGAUAUCCAACAACGUGUCUGUGUUCCUCCUCUCACUGCAGCCAUGAAACACUGGAUGGGAAACAUGCUGAUUCUGACUCUCUGGCUCGAGUGUUCAGGAGAAGACACAGUGACCCAGUCCACAGGAGAGGUCAUCGCUACCGAAGGACACACAGUUACUCUUGACUGUACAUUUGAAAUAAGUAGUAGCAUUAAUGCAUAUUUGUUCUGGUACAAACAAGAAGUCAAUAACCAGCUGAUGUACAUUUUGAGACGUGAUACUUUGAACACAGAAGAUAAUUCUCCAGAGUUCCAGAAGGACAGAUUCGAUGCUACAAUCAACAAGACAUCGGUUCCACUAAAGAUCUCGUCUGCUACAGUGUCAGACUCUGCUGUGUACUACUGUGCUGUGAGGCCCACAGUGACAGGAAACACCAAGACUCUGUACAAGAACCUCUGCAGCAAAGACAACUCUGUACACCAUCCACCAGAGGGAGUCUCCAUCUGAAUAUCUUCAGCAGGAUGUGACGAUACCGUGUGGAUUAUUCAUAGUGGUGA